GAUGAACGCUAGCUACAGGCUUAACACAUGCAAGUCGCGGGGCAGCAUGUAUCUGGCUUGCCAGAUACGAUGGCGACCGGCGCACGGGUGAGUAACACGUAUCCAACCUGCCGCAUACUCCGGAAUAGCCUUUCGAAAGAAAGAUUAAUGCCGGGUGGCAUGUAAAUUCUGCAUGGGAUUUACAUUAAAGAUUCAUCGGUAUGCGAUGGGGAUGCGUUCCAUUAGCUUGUGGCGGGGUACGCCCACCAAGGCGACGAUGGAUAGGGGUUCUGAGA
rnacentral:rRNA from 1 species